rnacentral:rRNA from 1 species
GAUGAACGCUGGCGGCGUGCUUAACACAUGCAAGUCGAACGAAGCACUUCAUAAAGCUUGCUUUAAGAAGUGACUUAGUGGCGGGCGGGUGAGUAACGCGUGGGUAACCUGCCUUACACAGGGGGAUAACAGUUAGAAAUGACUGCUAAUACCGCAUAAAACAGCAGAGUCGCAUGACUCAACUGUCAAAGAUUUAUCGGUGUAAGAUGGACCCGCGUCUGAUUAGCUUGUUGGUGGGGUAACGGCCUACCAAGGCGACGAUCAGUAGCCGGCCUGAGAGGGUGAACGGCCACAUUGGGACUGAGACACGGCCCAAACUCCUACGGGAGGCAGCAGUGGGGAAUAUUGGACAAUGGGCGAAAGCCUGAUCCAGCGACGCCGCGUGAGCGAUGAAGUAUUUCGGUAUGUAAAGCUCUAUCAGCAGGGAAGAA